rnacentral:pre_miRNA from 1 species
AAGGGCUGAAAUGGCCAUUACCUCACAGUCACGUAGUCUUGAAGUACAACGUGUGAUGUGACGUAGUGGAAGUCUCGGCCCG